rnacentral:rRNA from 1 species
GUGAGGAAUAUUGGUCAAUGGACGGAAGUCUGAACCAGCCAAGUAGCGUGCAGGAUGACGGCCCUAUAGGUUGUAAACUGCUUUUAUGCGGGGGUAAAGUGAGUGACGUGUCAUUCAUUGCAAGUACCGCAAGAAUAAGGACCGGCUAAUUCCGUGCCAGCAGCCGCGGUAAUACGGAAGGUCCUGGUGUUAUCCGGAUUUAUUGGGUUUAAAGGGAGCGUAGGCCGUCAGGCAAGCGUGUUGUGAAAUGUCGUGGCUCAACCAUGGACUUGCAGCGCGAACUGCCCGACUUGAGUGCGAAGAAAGCAGGCGGAAUUUGUGGUGUAGCGGUGAAAUGCUUAGAUAUCACGAAGAACCCCGAUUGCGAAGGCAGCCUGCUGUAGCGCUACUGACGCUGAAGCUCGAAAGUGCGGGUAUCGAACAGGAUUAGAAACCCGUGUAGUCC